GUUCUUGAUCAUUCCUUCUUUGUGGUGAAGUUAGGUCACAGUUGGGUGGGGAAAAGAUUUUCCGUAGGGUUGCUUUACUGUGGAUUUAUUCUAAUUCCAGCAGCAACUAUCUCUUGGCGUUGGAUCAGUGAUUACAGCUGUGGAAUUUAAGGACUUUGACGCGA